CCAAAACUAAGACAGUGUGCUUCAAGGUAC
rnacentral:piRNA from 1 species